UCGGCGGUGGGAGAAAGGGGUGGGCGCCCGGGCCCCGCCGGCACGGCGAGGGGGCGGGGCGGGGAGAGGAAAAGGACUUUGACCAGAUUCUUAAAGGCACAGGCGCCUGCCCGCCUCCGCCGCCGAAGUUGGGGGACAAAACCCGACGGUGUUCUAGAGCUUUCCGAAGGAGGCAACUGUAUAGAUUGCAAAUGCCUCUUCUGCACCGGGUGUGCGGAGCCACGCUUUUCGUUGUGAAAGUGUUAGGGAAACCCUUUCAUUUUGAUCUGGGCUUGUUUCAAAGUUGGGGAUUUUCUGCAGCCACGAAACCCCAUUGGUACUUGGAAUAUGUACUUUUCAGGGUACUUCAGCUCUCCCUCUCGUGCCAUUGCUCACUAAGUUUUUUAUGUUGCUGUGUAUACAAUUUCUUCAUCUGUAACGCGGCAGGUAAAAAGUCCUAAUGGGAUCAUUUGCGGUGUGAAAGGAGACAAACUUCUAUGACAAGGUCUCACCCUAUGAGAGAGAGAGAGAGACUCUCACAUAGAUGGGAUCUGGACCCUGCCGGGGAGAAAUAUGCAACAUGAACAAAGUGAAAUGGAAAUGGAAAUCUACAGCUCCAGAACCCUGAGUCUCCCUGGCUAUCUGAAAGUAGAACAUUCCUAUAAAAACUUUCAAAUCAUGAAAUUGGACAAAGUGGAUUCACUGUGGAAGUUUCUGAUAACGUGCCUCAGUUUCCUCACUGUAACUGGGAAAUGUCUGCAGAGAUGAAGACUGACACAAGAGCACAGUUUUAUUUGGCCACUUCUAUUUUAUUUUAUUAAAAGAAUUUUUUUGAGUAGGUUCCAUGCCCCAUGUGGGGCUUGAACUCAUGACCCUGAGAUCAAAGUUCGCAUGCUCUGACUGAGCCAGCCAGGUGCCCCUAUUUGGUCACUUCUUAUCUCCCCUUGCACAGAGCUGAAUACCAUCCACUCAUGAUUCUAGGCAGACAGCACAGGGUAAGGACAACCAAUUAUUUACUUACAAUUGUGUCAUUAGCACUUCCAAAACACUGGUGACCAUCCUCAAGUCUUUCAUAGCUCAGCCUAGACUUGUGGCUUUUUAAGAAUCAGUUUGCUUUCCUUCUUUUUCUACCCCAUUGUUUGUUGAUAGAUAAGCUUGAAAACACCCCCUUCCUCGGAGCUUGAUUGGCAAGUGUCAAAUCCGCAAGCUUUGGCAGCUAUGUGCUAUGUGGCUGUGUGGCAGCUACGUUAAGGAGGAGUGAAGGAGGACACGGGUUGGUCUGUGGCCAGAGGGAAAAGAGAAACCCAUAUAACCAGGAUGAACAGACGAGUAGAAGGUGUGCGUAGUAGUUCCCUGGGGCUGCCCUAACAAAUCACCGCAAACCUGGUAGCUUAAAACAACAGAAAUUUACUUUCUCACAGUUGUGGAGGUUAGAAGCCUGAAAUCAAGACGUUAGGGCCAUGCUUCCUCUGAAGGCUCUAGGGGCGGGUCCUUCCUUGCGUUGUUUUCUGGCUUCGGGUGGCUCUUGGCACUCUACUUCUACCUCUGUCGUCACAUGGCAUUCUCCCCUGUGUGUUUUCACACCACUUCUCUCUAUGUGCCUUCUGCAUAUCUUCUUAUACAGGCACCAGUGACUGCAUUGAAACUCCACCCUAACCCAGUAUGACCUCAUCUUAAUUUAACCAAUCACAUCUGCAAAGACCCUAUUUACGGAUAAAGUCGCUGAGCUUCCACGCAGACCCAAAGUUUGGGGGACAUUAUUCAACACAGUGUAGAGGGGGUGGUCUGAUGGCAUCUGGAAUGUGGAUCUGAAUGUGUUCUUUAGACCACAUCACACUCUGGGAUGCUUGGGGUGCUCAGUCAGUUAAGUGUCCGAUCUCAGCUCAGGU